rnacentral:rRNA from 1 species
GACGUAGGGUGCGAGCGUUGUCCGGAUUUAUUGGGCGUAAAGAGCGUGUAGGCGGCCAGACAGGUCCGUUGUGAAAACUCGAGGCUCAACCUCGAGACGCCGAUGGAAACCGUCUGGCUAGAGUCCGGAAGAGGAGAGUGGAAUUCCUGGUGUAGCGGUGAAAUGCGCAGAUAUCAGGAAGAACACCCGUGGCUAAGGCGGCUCUCUAGUACGGUACUGACGCUGAGACGCGAAAGCGUGGGGAGCGAACAGG